rnacentral:rRNA from 1 species
CCUACGGGUGACAGCAGUGAGGAAUAUUGGUCAAUGGCCGAGAGGCUGAACCAGCCAAGUCGCGUGAGGGAAGACGGCCCUACGGGUUGUAAACCUCUUUUGUCGGGGAGCAAAGCGAACCACGUGUGGUUCAUUGAGAGUACCCGAAGAAAAAGCAUCGGCUAACUCCGUGCCAGCAGCCGCGGUAAUACGGAGGAUGCGAGCGUUAUCCGGAUUUAUUGGGUUUAAGGGGUGCGCAGGCGGAGGUGCAAGUCAGCGGUCAAAUUGCGGGGCUCAACCCCGUACUGCCGUUGAAACUGCAUCCCUUGAGUGCGCGAGAAGUAUGCGGAAUGCGUGGUGUAGCGGUGAAAUGCAUAGAUAUCACGCAGAACCCCGAUUGCGAAGGCAGCAUACCGGCGCCCUACUGACGCUGAGGCACGAAAGUGCGGGUAUCGAACAGGAUUAGAUACCCCAGUAGUC